rnacentral:rRNA from 1 species
AUUGAACGCUAGCGGCAGGCCUAACACAUGCAAGUCGAGGGGUAACGGGGUGCUUGCACCGCCGACGACCGGCGCACGGGUGCGUAACGCGUAUACAAUCUACCUUUUGCUGAGGAAUAGCCCAGAGAAAUUUGGAUUAAUACCUCAUGAUAUUUUUAACUCGCAUGAGUUUUAAAUUAAAACUUCGGUGGUAAAAGAUGGGCAUGCGUUCUAUUAGUUUGUUGGUGAGGUAACGGCUUACCAAGACUACGAUAGAUAGGGGUUCUGAGAGGAUAGUCCCCCACACUGGUACUGAGACACGGACCAG